UUGCAUGAAGAGCAAGAAAUCAAGAAAGGAUGAGGGAACAAAAAGAAUAUUCUUCCCUGCCAGUGGCUGCACCACCUACCUAAGCAAAGUGAUCGCGUGGCUGGCGCCACAGGUGUAUGAUUGCUUCAGUAUGGUGGAUUACAUUGAUUGGUUUCUGAAUGUUGCAUCUUUUCUAUGAACCCUAUCAGUUGAACUGCCUGACGUGUGGCUCCAUUACACAUGUGCAAUGCUGAGUGGGUCUGGUGAAAGAGAGGGGUGAUGAUGAAGACGAAGAGAGAAGAUGGGCUAUCAAGGAUGAUAAGAUCUUCUGGCACAAAAUCUCAUGAUUCUAAAAGAAGUCACCAGAGGGAUUUGCACUGUGGCCUAUUAAGUACAUUUGCUCAAACAGCAAAUGAAGUCCCCCUAACAAAGUCGCCAUUUUGGCCGGGCUGGGUUAGGAGCCAUCUGGAAAAGUUGUACGUAUCAACCGUCAAACCCACAUUCCUCUUUCGUUUUACCUUUCACAAACUCUUCCUCUCUGACUUUCAGCUAACCAGGGAGAAUGACAUUUUCUGAUUAUCCAAAAUUGCUUUUAAACGUGGUGGAACUAAAAGCACUUUUCAGGAAUCCGAAAGGGAAUUUUACAGAGAUGUUUACUGACCUUUCAGAUAAUGAAGCUACCUGGGUGGGUAGAAGAAUACAGACUGUCCUCAAGUUAAAUAAAAAGAAAUCCGUCUCACAGCAUGGUCUAUUCAGCCCCAUUUCUGACAAAAAAGGAGGUCAUAUCCCUAGUAGAGCCACACUUAGUGAAAGAUCUUACUGUAUAAUGGUUUGUAUGAUUUUUAAACACUGUGCUUCUUCUAUUACAUCAUAGUCAUCCUAUAAAAUCUCUGAUUAUGAUAAUCAAUUCAGCAUGGUGUGAUACAGUAUGCAGUAACAAAAAUU